rnacentral:rRNA from 1 species
CCUACGGGGGGCAGCAGUGAGGAAUAUUGGUCAAUGGCCGGAAGGCUGAACCAGCCAUGCCGCGUGAAGGUCAGUGCCCUAUGGGCGUUAAACUUCUUUUGUGCGGGAGCAAUAAUGGUCACGUGUGGCCAGACGAGAGUACCGUACGAAUAAGCAUCGGCUAACUCCGUGCCAGCAGCCGCGGUAAUACGGGGGAUGCAAGCGUUAUCCGGAUUUAUUGGGUUUAAAGGGUGCGUAGGCUGUGAGACAAGUCAGAUGUGAAAUCCACGGGCUCAACCCGUGAACUGCAUUUGAAACUGUUUCCCUUGAGUGUCGGAGAGGUAAUCGGAAUUCCAUGUGUAGCGGUGAAAUGCGUAGAUAUAAGGAAGAACACCAGUGGCGAAGGCGGAUUACUGGACGAUAACUGACGGUGAGGCGCGAAAGCGUGGGGAGCAAACAGGAUUAGAUACCCCAGUAGUC